AUCCGAAUGUCCAGACGAUGGAUUAGCACCGUAACCACCGGGAGAUCCGUAAGCGCCGUGAGGUUUGUCUUUAUGCGGCUUAUGAUCUCCGGCAGGAGACGCGUAUGGGGCGGACGGUGGUGCACCGUAUGGCGAGGAGGACGGUGGAGGUUGCGCGCCGUACGGAACAGCGUACGGUGAGGAUCCGUGCGGUGGAGGAUUGGUGCCGGAGGAUCCGUAAGGUUGAGGCGGUGGUGGGUUUCCGCCGUAACCGCCGUAACCUUGGCUCGAUGGAGGGUAACCAGACAUGGCGAAUAAAGCUUUCAGAGAGAUCACACACUAGUGGAAAUUUGUCUGCGAAAUUUGGG
rnacentral:lncRNA from 1 species